rnacentral:tRNA from 1 species
GGAAGUUUCCGAGAGCUGGCGGGAGCCAGCUAACGCGGGUGUUCGCUAUGAAUACGGGCUUUGGAAGGCUCCCGCUGUCUCGUAUUUGAGCCUUUACACUGCAGGGGCGCAAGUUCGAAACUUGCACUUCCCACCA